GUGUUUGCCCUACUCUUCCUCCUCACAGUACGGCUGGGCAUUCUCGACAACGCACAGCCUCGCGCACAAACACGCACGCACAGAGAAGUGCCCUCCCUCCCCAGAGCGCUUGACGCGAAUCAUCGUGUACGUUUCUCCGCUUCUCCUUUACGCACAACCCCAGCGCGUAUAUCCUUUUGCACGCUCCGCCAUGCCGCACCGCUCUCUCGUCUGCUUUGCUGCGCCAGCGGACAAGAAGGCGUUCAUGGAACUCGUCAAGACCCUUCGGUACCGCACCGAGGCCCCCAUAUCGGACUGCAGCGCAGCUCUCAAGGAAACCGACGGGGACAUGGACGCGGCUAUGCAAGUGCUGCGCAAGCGCGGCGCCGCCCGGGCGAUGAAGAAGGGCGAUCGCGUGACGGAGCACGGCUUUGUUGUGAGCUGUGUGGGAUCGACCCCAGCAAGCGGAGCGGCCAUCGUAACAAUAUGUAGCGAGACGGACUUUGCGGCCCGCAAUGAGCACUUCCAGAAGGUAUGCGUGCAGGCACGUGACCAGCUGUGCAAACUCAUGGACGCCACGAACGGCGCUGUUCUCGCAAACCCGGAGGAGGCUGUCAAGCAUCUGAGCGACGUCAUGGCAGAGGAGCUGCGCGUGGCCAUCGCAGUGCUCGGUGAAAACAUGCGAGUGCGCAGCAUCGCCCCACUCGUACCUGCACCGCAUAUGUCCGAGCGUCUUCUCAUUGGGAGCUACACGCAUGGUUCCUUGAAUGUCGACAACGUCGGCCGCAUUGUGGGGCUCGUGGCGUUGAGUCAAGUGCGGGAGAACGAGGUGGUUCCGAAGGAUGUGCUGACCUCUGUCGGCCGCCAUUUCGUGGCCACCUCCGGUGCCGAGGGCAACUACGCUCACCAGAACUUCUUUGGUAGUGAGACGGAGACGGUGGGCAAGUGGCUGAAGCAGCGCGGCCUCAAGUUCAGCAGCAGCCUCGUGCAGGAGUUUGGGAAGGAGCCGGUCGUGCACACGGCACCUGAGCCGCACAGGUAGGGUUAGGGGGAGGGGGGGGUGAUGAUGCGCACUCGGCCGCCCCCACAGGUGCGCUCUUUUUCAAUGAGAGAGGAAGAGCGAGAUAGAGGGGGUAGGCGGGGGGGGAGGCAGAGGUCAAGAGGAAUGCAACACUCUGGCAGUGGUGCUGUACGCGCGUGUGCUCUCCUUGAUGGUUCAUCUCGUUGGUCGGUCACCACGGCCGCCAUCUCUUCGCUCCGCCCUCUCCCGUCCCUCGGAGGCUGUUUCGCACUCCUCCGUUCCUCACGCGCUCGCACCUGCGUGCCGCCACUAUCGUUCUCCUCCAGGUGAUUUGUCGCACCCAUCACAGAUUGUCUUUGCUUGUUGUCGCGUUUUACUCGAUCUUCGCGUCGUUCUUGUUGUCGAUGUGGCGCCGCGCCGUAGAGCACAUCGAGCGGACGGGCUGGAGGGAGGGAGGGCGGGGCUUGACACCACUCCCACCUCGGUUUUUGUCUGGCCGGUGAGUGGAUGGAAACGAGAAAACGAAAAAGCGCGCGAAAGGCAGGCAGACCGGACCGCGUAGGAAUCGAGUCGACUUGUGCUUUCUUUUCUUGUGGCCUCCGCCUUCUGCCGCAGUGGUGGCGGCCAUGCCACCCGCAGCGGCUCCUCUCCCCGUGAGUGCUGCAAAAAGGGUGGGGAAUAGGCCGCUUUCGAAUUGUGUGAU
rnacentral:misc_RNA from 1 species